rnacentral:rRNA from 1 species
UGCAUAUUAAUUAUUAUUGGUUUUAAUUUUUCUGUUUUAAUAAAAGUAUUUUUGUUUUUAGUAUAUUAUUAGAAAUAAUGAUUUUAAUUAUAGUUCAUUGUACUGUAAAGGUGUUUUUUAAAUAAGUUAAAAGAAAUUAUAAUUUAAUGUACCUUUUGUAUCAGGGUUUAUUAAAUAAAUAUUAAAAAUUUAAUUUUCCCGAAAUUAAAAGAUUUAUAAUUAUAUGUAUAUUAUUGUGUCAUAACUAUUAAUAAUAUAAUUAUAGGGGGGAUAUCCCAUUCAAUUUUAAAUAUCUGGUUUUCUAAUAAAUAAAUUUAAUUUAGGUUAAUUUUGUUUAAUUAUAAUUUAAUUUAUAGUGUAAAUUUAACUAAUAUUUUUGGGGAUAAGCUCAAAAUUAUUUUUAUAAUUAUUUAAUUUUAAGAAAAAUUGUAGGCCUAAUAACAGCUAUCAUUUAUUUCGUUAUAGUUUAUUUUCAUUAAAUUUGAUUUUUUUUAAUUUAAAAUUUUAUUGGAGUUAUUAAUUUAAUUUAUUAUUUAAUUAAAUAAUGAUAAAAUUAGUAUUAUUGUUAAUUAUUAUAUAGUAAUUCGGCAAAUUUGUUUUCCGCCUGUUUAACAAAAACAUGUCCUUUUGAUUUUUAUUUAAGGUCUGACCUGCCCACUGAUUUGUUUAAUGGCCGCGGUAUUUUGACCGUGCAAAGGUAGCAUAAUAAUUUGUCUUUUAAUUGAAGGCUUGUAUGAAUGGUUGGACGAGAAAACUACUUUCUUUAUAAUAAAAUAAUUAAUUUUAUUUUUUAGUUAAAAAGCUAAAAUUUUGUUGUAGGACGAGAAGACCCUAUAGAACUUUAUAUUUAUUUAUAUAUUAAUAUUUUUGGUUAAUGAUAUAUUGUAUUUUUAUAAGUAUUUUGUUGGGGCGACAAGAAAAUUUAUUUAACUUUUUUUUAUUAAUUUCAUUAAUUAAUGUAUAAAUGAUCCUUUAUUAUGGAUAAUUAGAAUAAGUUACCUUAGGGAUAACAGCGUAAUUUUUUUGGAGAGUUCUUAUCGAUAAAAAAGUUUGCGACCUCGAUGUUGAAUUAAGAUUAGAUGAGGGGGUAGAAUUUCUUAUUUCUAGGUCUGUUCGACCUUUAAAUUCUUACAUGAUUUGAGUUCAGACCGGCGUGAGCCAGGUUGGUUUCUAUCCUCAAUUAAUUUAAUUAUUUUAGUACGAAAGGACCAAAUAAUUUAAAUAUUUUAUCAAUUUUGAAUAAUAUU